rnacentral:rRNA from 1 species
UGUCUCCUUUCUCCAAUCAGUGAAACUGAUCUUCCCGUGAAGAAGCGGGAAUUAUUUUAUAAGACGAGAAGACCCCAUGGAGCUUUAAACCCAAUUACAACCUUAUUUUUUUCAUCUUCAUAACCUUUAAGGUAGUGUAUAUCUGGUUUUAGGUUGGGGUGACCGCGGAGCAUAAAUAAGCCUCCACGAUGAACGGAAUUAUUUCCUUAUCUAAGAAUUACAUUUCUAAGAAUUAAUAUUUUAACAUACAAUGAUCCAAUAUUUGAUCAACGAACCAAGUUACCCUGGGGAUAACAGCGCAAUCCACUUCAAGAGCCCCUAUCGACAAGUGGGUUUACGACCUCGAUGUU